ensembl:lncRNA
UAUCCCAAAUUUCCAGCUCAUUAUCCCAAAUUCCAGCUCAUUAUCCCAAAUUUCCAGUUCAUUAUCCCGAAUUCCAGCUCAAUAUCCCGAAUUUCCAGCUCAAUAUCCCGAAUUUCCAGCUCAUUAUCCCAAAUUUUGGCUCCGUCCCUUCCUUCCCAUCCGUUAUCCCAAAGCUCUUCCCGGCUCCUCCUUUCCCAUGAAUUUUUUGGGACCCAAAUCCCAAAAUCCCAUCCCCUUUAUCCAAUCCCAAUCCCAAAAUCCCAAAUUUACCCAAAUUCCCAACAUUUUCUCCUCUUUUUCUUUGGGAAAAAAAACCUGGAAAUAACGGAAUUUCCUUGGGAAUUCCAUGGAUUUAUUUAUAAUAUUUACAAAUCCCAAGGAAAAAAAAAAAAGGGAAUUUUUCCAUCGGGACAUUCCCAAACCCAUUGGAAUUCCCAAAAAUCUCCCCCCUGGGAAACAGGAUGGGAAUUCUUGGAAUAUUUUGGGAAUUUGCUGCUCUGGGCACCGGAUCCACCCAGAAAUUCCAGGAAUUUUGGGAAUUUCGCACCCAGGGCAUCAAAUCCAAAUGAGAAUUUUGGGAAUUUUUUGCUCAGGGCAUCAAAUCCCACCUGGAAUUCCAGAAAUUUCCUGGGAACACCUCCGGCAUUUCCGGCUCCGGGGGAAUUCCCUGUUUUCUGGAGGAUUUUCUGGAAGUUUCCCCGGAUUUUCCAGGCGGUUUUUCCCAGAUUUUCCACAUGUUUUUUCCGGAUUUUCCUGGAGAUUUUCCCGGAUUUUCCAGGUGGUUUUUCCCAUUUUUUCCAGGUGGUUUUUCCGGAUUUUCCUGGAGAUUUUCCCAGAUUUUCCAGGAAGUUUUUCCUGGGAUUUUCCAGAUGGUUUUCUCUGGAUUUUUUCCAGGCGGUUUUCUGGAAUUUUCCAAGAGGUUUUCCCUGAAUUUUCCAGGAUGUUUUUCUGGAUUUUCCAGGAUGUUUUCCGGGGAUUUUCCAGGCAGUUUUUCUGGGAUUCUCCAGGAUGUUUUUCCUGAAUUUUCCAGGUAUUUUCCCCAGAUUUUCCAGGAUGUUUUUCUGGGAUUUUCCAGGCAGUUUUCCCCGGAUUUUCCAGGUGUUUUCCUGGCGUUUUUCUGGGAUUUUCUCUGGGAUUUUCCUGGCGUUUUUUUCCGGGAUUUUCUCUGGAAUUUUCUGGGAUUUUCUCUGGGAUUUUCCAGGAUGUUUUUCCCGGAUUUUCCAGGAUGUUUUUCUGGAUUUUCCAGGUGUUUUUCCGGGAUUUUCUCUAGGAUUUUCUCUGGGAUUUUCCAGGAUGAUUUUCCUGGAUUUUCCAGGUGUUUUUCCGGGAUUUUCUCUGGGGUUUUCCAGGAUGUUUUUCCAGGCAUUUUCCAGGCAUUUUUCCUGGCUUUUCCUGGAUAUUUUCCCCGGAUUUUCCAGGAUGUUUUUCUGGAUUUUCAGGCGUUUUUUCCGGGAUUUUAUCUGGGAUUUUCCAGGAUGUUUUUCCCUGAUUUUCCAGGCGUUUUUUCCGGGAUUUUCUCUGGGAUUUUCCAGGCGUUUUUCCGGGAUUUUCAGUACCCGGAGGACCCGGG